AGCUCCAAUAGCGUAUAUUUAAGUUGUUGCGGUAAAAAAGCUCGUAGUUGGAUUUCUGUCGGGGAAGUACGGUCCAAACCACGUUUGCGCAUCUGUACCGCCCUGACAUCUUAGCGUUGGACGUUUUUGCGCUUGAUUGCGUGAUGCGGACUACGCUACUUUUACUUUGAGGAAAUUAGAGUGUUCACGGCAGGCUAUCGCCAGAAUACAUUAGCAUGGAAUAAUAUUAUAGGAUCUCGGUUCUAUUUUGUUGGUUUCUAGGAGCGAGAUAAUGAUUAAUAGGAACAAUUGGGGGCAUUUGUACCAAGCCGUCAGAGGUGGAAUUCUUGGAUUGGCUUGUGACAAACUACUGCGAAAGCAUUUGCCAAGGAUGUUUUCAUUGAU
rnacentral:rRNA from 1 species